UGUACCAGUUGUUCUGCCAAGGGCAUCGCUGGGUAGCUAUGUGCGGACGGGAUAAGUGCUGAAAGCAUCUAAGCAUGAAGCCCCCCUCAAGAUGAGAUUUCCCAUUCCGCAAGGAAGUAAGAUCCCUGAAAGAUGAUCAGGUUGAUAGGUCUGAGGUGGAAGUGUGGCGACACAUGGAGCUGACAGAUACUAAUCGAUCGAGGACUUAACCAA
rnacentral:rRNA from 1 species